AUACGGAGGGUGCAAGCGUUGUUCGGAAUUACUGGGCGUAAAGCGCGUGUAGGCGGCUUCGCAAGUCGGGUGUGAAAUCCCGGGGCCCAACCCCGGAACUGCACUCGAAACUGCCUCGCUAGAGUCCCGGAGAGGGUGGCGGAAUUCCCGGUGUAGAGGUGAAAUUCGUAGAUAUCAGGAGGAACACCAGUGGCGAAGGCGGCCACCUGGACGGUGACUGACGCUCAGACCCGAAAGCGUGGGGAGCAAACAGGAUUAGAAACCCCGGUAGUCC
rnacentral:rRNA from 1 species